rnacentral:lncRNA from 1 species
UUGAGCAGACCCUCUGCACAUUUCCUGUUUGAUUUCCACCCAUGUUAGACGAAGCUGUUGUUGCUGUGUUGGUGGUGCCCGUCUCGUGGGUCUCACAGGGCGGGUUGGUGCAGACCAUCUGUACAGUGCCAGCAGGAGCUGUGCCCAUAUUUGAAGAUGCUGUGGUUGCUGUAUUGGUGGUGCCCGUUUCAUGGGUCUCACAUGGUGGGUUGGAGCAGACCCUCUGUACAGUGCCCAUGUUGGCAGAUGCUGUGGUGGCAGUGUUUGUUGUACCCGUUUCAUGCGUUUCACAGGGUGGGUUGGAGCACACUAAAGUAACACUGCCAGAAGCGUCGCCUGCACCAGACUCAGUAGAGGUGGGCUGCUCAGAGAUGGGAGAGGCCAGAAUGGAAACAGGCAGAUCUUGGCCAGGCUGAGCCUCCACACCACUGGGUGUUGUUAUGAGAGUCACCUGGGUGGGCUUAAGAAAGGACGACACAAGAUUAGUGACUACAGAUUACGUUAUAUUUUUUCAGUAAUUUAAGUAAAUAUUAUGUAAUAUUGUUCAUUUUAAAUACAAUUCUGUGUUAUUAAUAUUUUUUAUAUUAUUAAAAUAUAGUUUCCUUUUAUUACAUAUUAAUUAUUCAUAACAAAUAAAGUUUGCGGUCUGAAUAUAUAUUUUUUAAAGAAAUUAAUACUUUUACUCAGCAAAGACGUAUUAAAUUGACUAAAUGUUACCAUAAAGAUAUCUAUAAUCUUGUUAAGAUUUCGGUUUUAAAUAAAUGCUGUGCUUUUGAACUUUCUACCAAAGAAUCCUGAAAAAUGUAUCACAUAUUUUUUGUUUUUACCCAAAUUAGCAUAUUAGAAAAAAAAUUCUGAAAGAUCGUGUGACACGGGUAUAAAUGAGACUCGUUGAGUAUAAGAGGAUUGUAAAACUUAUAAAACCAAUAAAACUUUAACAAUAGUGUACAUAAUGAUUAAUAUUGCUAUCAACCAGUAUCAUAUCGGACAUUAAAUAAGCCAUAUCAGUUCAUAAUUACACAAGAUGAAGAAAUGGUGGUUUAUAGGUAAAAAAUUUAUUACUACCAAAACAAUUUCAGUUAGUAAUUAUUUAUAAAAUAUGUAACUAUAAAGUAUACUUGCAUAAUAAUAAAAAAAAUAUAUAUAAAAAUAACUGCAAUAAUUAAUGAAUAAUUAUAUACAAUUGCAAUAAAAACAAUCUGAAAAGAUUAUGUGGUCCUAACCUGCAUGCUGGAGGUGACAGUGUUCAGGUUGCUUUGGGCAGCUGACGCAGCGGUAGCAUUAAUGACCUGGCUGGAGAGGGUGGCAAUCGUGCCCAGAGUGGUGAUGGGAGUUGCCAGGGUAGACUUGGCACUGGCUAAGCUUCCUCCAGCUAAGCUGCUAGAAACUGUUCCUGUGACUGUGCCAAGAGUUGUUACACCUUGGAAAGAGAACAGACACAGUGAGAGGAAAAUACUUUAAACAUUCAUAAUAGAGGUUGCUAAAUUACACUUGGCACAGAGACAUAUGCAGUCUUUUAACAAUGAAACGUUAACUUUUGACUUUUUUAGGCUAAUAUCCUUACCAGUUGUUCCCUUCACAACUAGUGUUGUCACAGUUGGCUUGACCCCAGAUACUGGAGACAUAAGACGCACUCCUCCCAUCGGCACGGUGCGAAGGAUGGUUCCAGGCUGACCAGGAGCUCCCUUUAGAACAACCUUCAGAUAGAAAAUAAACAAGCCAGGUAAGAAAAUGGGCUUCAAGUGCUUCAACACCAUCAGGUUUUCCAUUUUGCACCAGAUAUUCUGAACCCCAAAUACCUGUGUAAGGCCUUGCUGGCCAGCUGCUGUACCUAUCUUAGGCAUUGCUGUAAUGAUUUUGCCAGGAGUUCCUGUUCCAGAUGUCAUCACCUUUGUAGUGAUGAUGGUAAUAGGACUCUUCACCCCUGUACUACUAGUCAAACCUACAACAGAAAACAUAUGCUCAUUAAGUCCAAACAAAUCCACCUAAAAUAUCAUCAGCAUUAUUAAUAAUAAUAAUAAUAAUGUUGUUAAUAAUU